AUUGAACGCUGGCGGCAGGCCUAACACAUGCAAGUCGAACGAGUGGCGGACGGGUGAGUAAUGUCUGGGAAUCUGCCUUCUGGAGGGGGAUAACUACUGGACACUGUAGCUAAUACCGCAUACCCUCAGAUGUGCCCACGUGGGAUUAGCUGGUUGGUGGGGUAACGGCUCACCAAGGCGACGAUCCCUAGCUGGUCUGAGAGGAUGACCAGCCACACUGGAACUGAGACACGGUCGAGACUCCUACGGGAGGCAGCAGUGGGGAAUAUUGCACAAUGGGCGCAAGCCUGAUGCAGCCAUGCCGGGUGAAUGAAGAAGGCCUUCGGGUUGGAAAGUACUUUCGGCGGGGAGGCGUUACCAGCAGAAGAAGCACCGGCUAACUCCGUGCCAGCAGCGGCGGUAAUUC
rnacentral:rRNA from 1 species